rnacentral:sRNA from 2 species
AAGAACCAUUCAAAGACAACUAAGGUAUGGAAGUUUGGUUAAAUUCCAACGCGGUCCCGCCACUGUAAUCAUGCAUGAAGCAUGGAGCCAGAUCUUUACUUAGUUUGCUAAUAAUGCAUAUGGGCUGUUUCGAGGUCAAGCAGCUACAUGGAGA